rnacentral:rRNA from 1 species
AAAUUGAAGAGUUUGAUCAUGGCUCAGAUUGAACGCUGGCGGCAGGCCUAACACAUGCAAGUCGAGCGGAAACGAGUUGUCUGAACCUUCGGGGAACGAUAACGGCGUCGAGCGGCGGACGGGUGAGUAAUGCCUAGGAAAUUGCCCUGAUGUGGGGGAUAACCAUUGGAAACGAUGGCUAAUACCGCAU